CUCUCCCCCCGGGAGAGGUGAAUAACUUACUCGAUUUCGCUUUUGGCGGAGCGUCGAAAUCACAGCGUCCAGCCGCCGUCAAUGAUGUGCGCGACGCCCGUGGUAAAGGCGCUUUCAUCGCUGGCAAGGUAGACCGCGAGCGACGCGAUUUCGUCCGCGGUGCCGAGGCGGCCCAUUGGCUGGCGGCUGACGAACAUUUCGCGCCCGCC
rnacentral:misc_RNA from 1 species